UACGGAGGGGGCGAGCGUUAUUCGGAGUUAUUGGGCGUAAAGGGCGCGUAGGCGGCGCGAUAAGUCAAAGGUGAAAUCCCUCGGCUCAACUGAGGAACUGCCUUUGAAACUGUCGUGCUUGAGUCCGGGAGGGGGUAGCGGAAUUCCCAGUGUAGCGGUGAAAUGCGUAGAUAUUGGGAGGAACACCAGUGGCGAAGGCGGCUACCUGGACCGGUUCUGACGCUGAUGCGCGAAAGCGUGGGUAGCAAACAGG
rnacentral:rRNA from 1 species